AGAGUAUGGUGUAAAGGAAACACUGAGGAUUUUGAGUUCUCGGAUAUGGGUUCAAAUCCUAUUAUUCUAG
rnacentral:tRNA from 1 species